GUCCCCCUCCCCUCUGCGAGCUCGCAGCAUUCAGUCAGCCACACAUGGCUUCUGUACCUAGUGCAGGGGCGUGGGAAGCAGGGACCCUGGCUGAGAAAUCACCUGGGCUGCUGGCCGGGUGCUGCCCACGCUCAGCGUACAAACGUGUGUGCUACUUUACUAACUGGUCUCAGUACAGGGCAGAACCAGCCAAGUUCACUCCAGAAAAUGUGGACCCUUUCCUGUGUACCCAUUUGAUCUAUGCUUUUGCUGGGUUGGAGAACAAUAAGAUCACCAAGGUCGAAUGGAAUGAUGAAACCCUCUACCAACAGUUUAAUGACCUGAAGCAGAAAAAUGAGAACCUUGUCACACUCUUGGCUGUUGGAGGUGGAACCUUUGAUACCCAAAAAUUUACUGACAUGGUUUCUUCAUCUGAAAAUCGAAAAACAUUCAUCAGUUCAGUGAUUGAGUUUCUCCGCACGCAUAAUUUUGAUGGACUAGACCUCGAUUGGGAGUAUCCCGGUUCCAACGGAAGCCCCCCAGAGGAUAAGCAUCGCUUCACCCUUUUGGUUCAGGAAAUGGUCGCAGCUUUUACUGAAGAAGGAGAAAGUACCGGUCGUGCAAGGUUGUUGGUUUCAGCAGCUGUGUCAGCCAGUAAAGAAACCAUAGAUGCUGGAUAUGAAGUGGCUGAACUGGGGGAGAGUCUUGAUUUUAUCAAUGUGAUGACCUAUGACUUCCAUGGAAGUUGGGCCUCUGAAACGGGACACAACAGCCCCUUGUACAAGGGCUUGGAUGAGUACGACAGUAAUCCCUUCCUCAACUGUAAAUAUGCUAUGCAAUACUGGCAGGAAAAUGGUGCCCCAGCUGAGAAACUCCUGAUGGGAUUCCCAACAUAUGGACGAACUUUCAAGCUUUCUACUACAAAUACUGGGGUUGGUGCUCCGGCUUCUGGGGGUGGGUCUCCUGGGCCCCACACCAAGGAAUCUGGCAUCUUGGCUUACUAUGAGGUUUGCACGUUCCUAGAAGGAGCCACCACUGUUUGGAUUGACGAGCAGGAGGUCCCAUAUGCCUUCAAAGACAAUGAGUGGGUCGGAUAUGACGAUGUGAGGAGCUUUGAGAUCAAGGCCCAGUUCCUGAAGGAGAACAACUAUGGAGGAGCCAUGGUUUGGACUCUUGACCUGGAUGACUUCUCUGGCUCUUUCUGUGGGGCAGGUGCCAACCCUCUUUUAGGGGCACUGAAGGCAGCCCUUGAAAAUGAGAGCCGAGCAAGGACCACAGCAGAGAAGGCAACAUCAUAUUGCUUAUCCAAGGACUCGACUCCGUGCCCGUAGACAUAAAAGGGAGUUUUUCCAUUGACUUCAGUGCAUGUUGGAUCAAGCCCUAGUUGUAGAAACCAAUAAUAUCUGUGUUUCCCACUCUGCUUUUUUUUUAAAAAAAGAUUCUUGCUUCUUAAACCCUUGUACUCUGAGUGGAGCAUAGGUCAUCUACAAGUCUCCUCCACUUCACUCUGUCUUGAGACAAAACUUCUAGCUGACUCCAAGAGUACCCCGACUAUUGUCCUUGGAUCUCAGUAGAUCUUCUCCAUGUUGUCCGAGGUCUUCCUCUUUUCCGUUUUCCUUGCGGGUUCCAUGUGAGAGCUUGAUGGACUAUGAAAAAUUCUGACACCUGUAAAUAAACCUGGUGCGGCCAAGCUGCCAAUGUGUACGCUGAUGCCAGGGCCAAGCUAGAAUUCUGACUGUGGAGCAGAAGUUACUGCAUCCAGUCUGGUUCCGCAGACUCAUUCCAUCUGUUGUCAUAGUCUAUGUGUGUGCACCUGCUCAUGAAAACACCAGGGAUAGUUCUAAUGAAACCUUGCCCCAUGCUCCUUUAUCCCCAAACCAUCAAAUUCUAGAGAAAUUCUAGCCCAUAUCUCUGGGUUCUGUCUGCAAAAUGACCUCUGAAUAGUGUAUGUAUUAAAGAAUAUCAUUAAAUUCCUAGCCUCUGAGGAAAGAUUAAAGCUACAAGAGAGUGUAAUUUUAAUUCCGCAAGACCCAACGAAGUAUAACACAUUGAAAUAAAGCUUUCUCCAUUGA